ACGGAAGGCAGCAGUGGGGAAUAUUGCACAAUGGGGGGAAACCCUGAUGCAGCGACGCCGCGUGAAGGAUGAAGUAUUUCGGUAUGUAAACUUCUAUCAGCAGGGAAGAUAGUGACGGUACCUGACUAAGAAGCCCCGGCUAACUACGUGCCAGCAGCCGCGGUAAUACGUAGGGGGCAAGCGUUAUCCGGAUUUACUGGGUGUAAAGGGAGCGUAGGCGGCUGUGUAAGUCAGAAGUGAAAGCCCGCGGCUUAACUGCGGGACUGCUUUUGAAACUGCACGGCUUGAUUGCAGGAGAGGUAAGCGGAAUUCCUAGUGUAGCGGUGAAAUGCGUAGAUAUUAGGAGGAACACCAGUGGCGAAGGCGGCUUACUGGACUGUAAAUGACGCUGAGGCUCGAAAGCGUGGGGAGCAAACAGGAUUAGAUACCCUGGUA
rnacentral:rRNA from 1 species